rnacentral:rRNA from 1 species
AUACGGAGGAUCCGAGCGUUAUCCGGAUUUAUUGGGUUUAAAGGGUGCGCAGGCGGGAGAUUAAGUCGGCGGUGAAAUUUUGCAGCUCAACUGUAAAAGUGCCUUCGAUACUGGUUUCCUUGAGUGUGGAUGAAGUAGGCGGAAUUUGUGGUGUAGCGGUGAAAUGCUUAGAUAUCACGAGGAACUCCGAUUGCGCAGGCAGCUUACUAAACCACUACUGACGCUCAGGCACGAAGGCGUGGGGAUCAAACAGGAUUAGAUACCCUGGUAGUCCACGCAGUAAACGAUGAUUACUGGCUGUUUGUGAUACAAUGUAAGCGGCUGAGCGAAAGCGUUAAGUAAUCCACCUGGGGAGUACGUUCGCAAGAAUGAAACUCAAAUGAAUUGACGGGG